rnacentral:rRNA from 1 species
AAGCACCGGCUAACUACGUGCCAGCAGCCGCGGUAAUACGUAGGGUGCGAGCGUUAAUCGGAAUUACUGGGCGUAAAGCGUGCGCAGGCGGUUUGGUAAGUCAGAUGUGAAAUCCCCGGGCUCAACCUGGGAACUGCAUUUGAGACUGCCAAGCUGGAGUUUGGCAGAGGGGGUGGAAUUCCACGUGUAGCAGUGAAAUGCGUAGAGAUGUGGAGGAACACCGAUGGCGAAGGCAGCCCCCUGGGCCAAUACUGACGCUCAUGCACGAAAGCGUGGGGAGCAAACAGGAUUAGAUACCCUGGUAGUCCACGCCCUAAACGAUGUCAACUAGGUGUUGGGAGGGUUAAACCUUUUAGUGCCGUAGCUAACGCGUGAAGUUGACCGCCUGGGGAGUACGGCCGCAAGGCUAAAACUCAAAGGAAUUGACGGGGA